CCUACGGGAGGCCGCAGUGGGGAAUUUUGGACAAUGGGCGCAAGCCUGAUCCAGCAAUGCCGCGUGAGUGAAGAAGGCCUUCGGGUUGUAAAGCUCUUUUGUCAGGGAAGAAACGGCUGAGGUUAAUACCUUUGGCUAAUGACGGUACCUGAAGAAUAAGCACCGGCUAACUACGUGCCAGCAGCCGCGGUAAUACGUAGGGUGCAAGCGUUAAUCGGAAUUACUGGGCGUAAAGCGUGCGCAGGCGGUUUUGUAAGUCUGACGUGAAAUCCCCGGGCUCAACCUGGGAAUUGCGUUGGAGACUGCAAGGCUGGAGUCUGGCAGAGGGGGGUAGAAUUCCACGUGUAGCAGUGAAAUGCGUAGGGAUGUGGAGGAACACCGAUGGCGAAGGCAGCCCCCUGGGUCAAGACUGACGCUCAUGCACGAAAGCGUGGGGAGCAAACAGGAUUAGAUACCCUGGUAGUCCACGCCCUAAACGAUGUCUACUAGUUGUCGGGUCUUAAUUGACUUGGUAACGCAGCUAACGCGUGAAGUAGACCGCCUGGGGAUACGGUCGCAAGNUUAAAACNCAAAUGAAUUGACCGGNUGAGACGNGCGAGACGACGACGAGGAGAGG
rnacentral:rRNA from 1 species